ACAAUUGUGAUUUGAAAGACUUCACUGUUGAAGUUUAAGAAAAUGAAGACAACGUCGGCGGAUCUAUCGGAGGAAUUGCUAGAGGAGAUACUCUCUACGGUAACAUCUCUGAAACUUGCAAAAAGUGGAAAACUUUAUCAAAAAAUCAGAUUUUUGGUAAAACAGAGAAGCAGCAGUUUCUGGGAUUCAGGAUGAUGGAUUAUAGAGUUUGUUCUGUAAGAUUCAACCUGCAAGGAAUCCAAAACGAAGACUUGGUAGACCCAUCAAUAAAGCAGGUAGCUUUACUUGAUCUAGUGAAGAUAUCUAAAGUGUUUCACUGUGACGGCUUGUUGCUAUGUGUUGUUAAGGGCUUUCGUAUGGAACCCAGAAACAGUUUCCACAGCUCAGACAGGUAUGCUCUUGGUUAUGACAAGAACUAUAACCACAAAAUUCUGAAGAUUUGCUGUUUUGGGUAAUAUACGACUUUAGCUCUGAUUUAUGGAAGGUUUAUUGUGUUACUCACGAUUGGGAGAUACCUUCUCAUCAACGUGGUGUGUCUUUGAAAGGAAAUAGUUAUUUUUUUUGGGUCUAGAGAAGAUGAGAUGAGAAGGAGAAGGAGGGAGAAGAAAGAUUGAAGAUAGUUUACUCUGUUUUGAUUUUACAAGUGAGAGAUUUGGACCGUGUCUGCCUCUGCCUCUGCAGUUUCACUCUUAUCGUUAAGAGAAUUUGACUCUGUCUUGUGUUGGAGAAGAGAAGCUCGCUCUGUUUAGUUACCACCGAAUAACAUUUAGUGUACAUGAGUUUUGGGUUACGAAUAAGAAUUGAUCCAAUGCGCUGUCUUGGAGCAAGUUUUUGAGAUCGUUCCAUGGUCUUCAUGUUGCAUUGGAGCUGGGAGUUUUUUCAUUGAUGAGGAGGAGAAAUUUGCUGUGGUUUUUGUUCUUGAUUACCCAAUAUGAACACACAUAAGGUAGUAGUGUGGCAUAUGAGUAGGGGUUGAUAUAGUGGUCUCGUUUUAAGGUUCAGGCAUGUACGGUAAUGGUGGGAUGUACAAACAGUGUUCUAGAUAUUUGUUAUGGAAGCCUUAUCUAACUAACUUCACCUGUCAUUGAGAAGUGAAGCGGCUACGUUUGGUAGGUUCGGUAUUGGUGGAUUCGCACACCCAAAUAGAUCCCGUGAGUAGUUGCAGUAUCUUCCCAUGAUUUGAGGGUUUGUUUUGAUUUAGGGACUUCUAAAAUAUUGUUGCUAUUCAAUGAUGUAUAUACAAUAUUCAUUUGUCAUCCAUCUCAAUAAGCUUGUACAUGAUGAUGAAUUAUAGAGUUUGUUCUGUGAGGUUCAAUAUCAACGGAAUCCAAAACGAAGACGACGGCGAAUACUUGGUAUGGAGACUGUCCAUGAGCUAAAGCUAAGCUAAGCAUAUCCGUAUUUUAGUAGAAAAUAUUGAAAUUAAAAAUACGAGUUAGUGAUUCCUUGAACAAAAUAAAUUAAUUUCAUUUAUCUACUUAUGUUAUUAUAGGACUCUUAUGCUUUUGUUAUGUAUGGUCAUAAUUUUCAAUGCAACUUACUUACAUAUUUUGA